rfam:Blastomyces gilchristii SLH14081 genomic scaffold supercont1.20, whole genome shotgun sequence.
GCCAGCGUGGCUCAGUUGAUAAGACUGCUAAUCAAGACUACACACAUUAGAGAUGUGUGAGUUCGAAUCUCACCGCUGGUA